rnacentral:lncRNA from 1 species
UUUGACUCAAGUUUAUAAACGUAGGAUUAGAUGGAUUUGUUUUUUCUUAAAACCAGGUUCACAUGGUUUUGGAAUGGUCGCUUCUACCUUAAUUAUGAUUCCUCAAGCAGUUUUCCUGACUUUUAUGACGGCAUUCUCAGUGACAGACAGUAAUUGGAAACAUGAAUCAAAUACUUACUGCAUACAAAGCUCUUUGGGCCUCCAGACAGGAGACGCUCCCUGAAAGUUUGUGAAAGAACAAACGUGCUGAGUCACUUGCACACUGAGUGGGGGUCCCGGCUGCCGUCCCAUCCUGCCGCGCAUCUUUAACGAAGAUACCGUGUGUCCCUGUUUCAGCUUCUUUCUUAUCUGUUCAGAAGAAAUGGGUGUGAAAGUAAUACGGCCCCACCUUGUUAGGAAGUAGCAAACUAGAGACUUCUGCUGAUGUCCAUUUUCAUGUCUGCCCCACGUUGAGAUGUCGCUGUGACCGGGGGCCAGCCGGCCUGCUUUAGCCCACGUCGGCACAGAUAAUCAAACGGUAGUCUCUCUCUGACAGUGCUGAUCAUAGACACCGUUAAAAAAGAAAUGGUCAUAAUGUAGGUGACUAAGAGAGAGGCCAGCCUUCUGAGUGGCAAGUUAGUAGCUCGGGGCAAACUACAGAGUGGCAGAGACCUUGCCUGGGGGGCAUGGCCCACGCCUUCCAACGGCUGUGGGUGGGGGGGCUGUUGGGAGACAGAGGGCUGAGGUAGACAAUCAUCUACAUUUUAUUAAAAAUAAUUGGAGAAGUUUACAGACUUUUUUUUUUUGCAAACAUGCAACUGUCAGGCAUGGGUAGAAAAGGAACGUUUUCCAAAUUGUGAGAAAUUCGAAUGUCGUGGCAAAAAAAAAAAAAAAAAUCAGGAGUCUGAUGAUUAAAUGUAGAGAGCUGUCAUCUCGGCAUUAUAUUAAAAUAACUCGCCUCAAGCAAGUGCACAGUAUUUC